CCUGACUCAAGCGGUGAUUUUUCCAGCCUCACAGCUGGGACUAGAACUCAGCCCAGUGGAAGAGGAGCAAAACGAGGCCUGAGGCCAAGAGGAGGCCAGAGCUACCUGUGCCUCAGUUUCACCACCCGAAACACGCAGUGUACAAGUACAGCCGUGGGGUGCUGAGCGAAACUAGAUAGGCCUGCCCUGCAGAGCUUACAGCCAGGACUGGGGCUAACAAUAAUGAAAGCAUCAAAGCAUCCGUGUUUGAUUGCACAAUGCAGCAGAUCAAAAACGGCCCGCUGCUGACGGUUUCAUAUGGUUCAGUCUAAUAAAAUUGCAGCUGUGA